CAGAUCUUAAAUUUGUAGAUGAAACUGAGAGUAUUGACUCAUUGAGUUCUGCAUCACAACUCGCUUAGCAAAUAUAUAUAUAAUAUUUUAUAGAGAAAUAAUUUACGGUUAUGAUGCAGUGCUCAGUUAGCGAAUGAAUGCUAUAAAAUGUAGUAUUCAUUUUUAUUUUAACACAAACUGCUGCAAGUAAGUGUUAUAAUCUAAAGUAAGUUUUCCGAGCAAUAUUUCAUAUUAAAUAAGUUCAAACUAAUAUGUACAUUAUUUAUUUUACACUAUCACUUAAAAUAUUUUUAAAUUGAAAGAAAACUUUUUC
rnacentral:lncRNA from 1 species